AUGAAAAUAAUAAGUUGGAACUAUCGGGGACUUGGGAACGGCCCGGCAGUUCGUGCACUCCUAGACCUUGGGAGAAAGGAGGAUCCCGACAUUUUGUUUUUGGCUGAAACUAGACUGACGACGGAUGAGAUGGACUGGCUAAGGUUGAAGCUCGGGCUCGCGAGCAUGGUUGCUUGGAAUCCGGAGGGGAGGAGUAGAGGGGUGGCACUGUUUUGGAGGAGAGGGGUGGAUGUAAACCUAAGAUCAAUGGGAAGGAGACAUAUAGACGCAGAUGUGAUGUCCGAGAGGGGGGUGUGGAGGCUAACGGGUGUGUAUGGAGAAUCGCAGUGGGAUAGAAAAGUGGAAACAUGGAGAGUUUUGUGUACACUGAAGCAUCAACACCAAGAUGGCAGUGUUGGGGAACGUUGCAGAAAACAAAAAAUUUCCUACUCGUUUCACCAAGAUCCAUCUAGGAGUUCAUCUAGCAAAGAGUCAUCGGAUGCAUCUACAUACCUUAGUAGAUCGCGUGCGGAAGCGUUCAAAGAAUGGUGA
rnacentral:rRNA from 1 species